AGUAACUUGCCCAAAGUGACACAUUAAGUGAGGAUCAAGAAAUCACACCAGCCAGUCUGACUUCAGAGCCCUCACUCAAAAUCACCUCUCUGCAUGAAAAAAAAAAGUAAGAAGCUGAUGUGAAGACACAGGAAGAAUGCCGCUAAAUACCGAGGAGGAAACUAAAAUGUAACACAAGCCAAGGAGGGCUGGGCCUACUAGGAGCCGAAAAAGCCUGCCUUUAGUCAAAUCGAGCUCAUUUUGAAGUCUUUCCUGGGAGUCCUGAAGACUAGCAAUGAGUCCUUCUGCAGAGCCAAGACCUUGUUCACUUUUCCUUACCAGAUCUUGGAGGCGACCAAUCUGCAACUACCUGAGAUCCUAAACAGAGGACCCAGCUAACCCACACUUGGACUCCUGACCCACAACACCACGAGGUAAUAAACAUGAGCU